CUGGGGAUAUCGAUGCUUUCCUACCACCGCAAUUGAAAGUUCGUAAUGUUGUGAAGAAAAGCAGCUAUGAGAAAAGUGCAUUACCGGAAGCGAUAAUCGAUCUUCCCGAAUCUCCUCGAUCCGUGAGUUCCGGAGCAAGUUACCUUCAAAACGAUUGGGACUACAAGGAAUUGCAAGCACUUCUUGCAGUUCUUUGGGAGCAAAACGGUGAAAGGCGAGCUUUGAAGUUUACUGAUUUAGUACCACCAGAAAGUUCUACAAAACUCGAUGCAGCAGUAUGUUUUACUCUGCUUCUUGAACUCCACAAGGACGGAAAAGUGAAUUUGGCACAAGAGGAACUCUAUAGUGAUAUUUACAUUUAUAAAAAGGGUAACUCCAAGGAACGAAUGUUCGAUGUUCAGGAUAAAUGAAAGUAACAAUACAUCCCGAAUAUUUUACGCGAUCUCAACAUGUUCAAGUUGAAUGUUGUUUUUUUGAAUAAUUCUUCAAGACUGAUUACAUAAAACGAAAAUUCAAUAUGUGGGGUAAAUCAAAGAAUCUAUGCACCCCGAAUAUUUCACGUGGUCUCAAUGUUUUAAAGUUUUUUCAUGGUUUUCUCUUAAUCUUAAAUACCCAUAGGAAGGAAAAUUUAUUGCUUGGGAAAAUUUGAAACAGAAAAAUCUCGGAUGUCCCACGUAUUCUCAAGAUUUUUCAUACAAAGGAGUUUUUAUAUCCACUCUAUAAGGAUGAUAUUAAUAUUAAAAUUCAUUAUAUAUAAAUAUUCAUGUGGAAUAUGGAGUCAAGAAAAUGUGUAGUCCCGUGAACUUGGGAUUUUAUGUUAAUUUCGACAUCUUUUAAGGAAAAGUAACAAAAUUAAACGAUU